CAUGUUAUACGCGGCCGGGGUGCAUUCCCGAGAAUAUGAUGAAACAUAAUGAAGCUCUCGGUAUGUUAAAAGGUCACUCAGAGGUAAGAAUUAACAUGUUGACACUCUUAACCCUUUGACGCGCAAACUUUCACAUAAUUACGCAAACGACUCCUCUCGUCCGACAAGUGGCUCAUUUGAGAAUACGGACACCGUAUAAGGUCACUCAGGGGCCUAGUUUAGGCAUGUUGACACUUUCAGUCCUUCUAUAAUCAUGGUUUUUGAUUUUUGACAAAAUUAGUCCCUCAUAGUCAACGUUUGACUUUAUUAGGGUUCAUUACACGUGUCACCACAUCAUUGGACACGAUU
rnacentral:lncRNA from 1 species